UACGGGGGGAGCAAGCGUUGUUCGGAUUUACUGGGCGUAAAGGGCGCGUAGGCGGCCACCGCAAGUCGACUGUGAAAUCUCCGGGCUUAACCCGGAAAGGUCAGCCGAUACUGCGGGGCUAGAGUGCAGAAGGGGCAACUGGAAUUCUCGGUGUAGCGGUGAAAUGCGUAGAGAUCCGGAAGAACACCGGUGGCGAAGGCGGCCUGCUGGGCAGUUGCUGACACUGAGGUGCGAAAGCGUGGGGAGCAAACAGG
rnacentral:rRNA from 1 species